GGCGAAAAGGAGAGAGGGGAGUGCCGAGGAGCGGGAAAGGCGGGUUAGUUGCAGAUGCAGGGCUAUGCAGGGGUGCUGCUCGCCUCUCCCCCGGCCCAGCGGAGGUGCCGCGGGGGCACGUCGGGGCGGGAGGAAGCGGGGAAGGCGUAGGGGAGGCGAGCGACCCGCGGCGCAGCCCCGGCACAGGCCGGGCAGGGCGGCGGGAGGCGGCCGGUGGCGGGGCGCGGCGGAGGGGCCGGUGCCGCCCGGUGCCGCCCGGUGCCGAGCCCGCCCCGUCCCAUCCCGGCCCGCCGCGAAGCCCAUCCCGGGCUGGAAAGCGCGGGAAAGGGGGCGCUGAUUUAAAUGAGGGCUCGGGGAUUGGCUGGGCGCGGCGUGACGUCACUUCCCAAAGGGGGCGAUUACCAUGCGAGGGGAGUAGAAGUUGGGCAGCGGGGCGGGAGCGCGAGUGCCGCUCGCCGGGCCGGGCCGGCGGGCUGGGCACCGAGCGCCUCGCCCCGGCCCCCGCGGCCAGCCCAGCCCGGCCCCGCGCUGCCCGGCCCGGCCCGGCCUGGCUCGGCUGGCUCGGCUCUGCACAGCCCGACCUGUCUCGCUCCUGGCCGCCCUGCCCCGGCCGUGCCCGCACCUUGGAGCGGACGGACGGACGGACGGACGGACGGAUGGCCGGCAUCCCCGACGGAGGGAUGUUUCUGUCUUUGGUUAUCUAGCUGUAUGAGUGUUGUGGAGCCAUCAUAAAGCUAGAUAACCGAAAGUAGAAAUGACUUCCAGACCUGCUCGCCCAGGGGAAGCGGCCGCACCAGGACCGGCAGUGCAGAGACGGCCCGACUCGCCGCCCUGGGGGCUCCAGACAUGACUGAGAGUUCGUGGAGUGGGAUGCCUUGGGAAGGGCUGGGACGUCUCCACCUGAGCAAGGAGAGAUCCCAGUGAGUGGACAAGGGACUUUCGAAGCUUGUGAGUUCCUUCUUCUAGUUGGCUACCACCUGCCUGGACUUGCCAUCUGACUUCUCCGAGUUUCUCCAGGAGAGUCCCAACCUGCUUCUCCACUGGCCCCAGAGAGGAGACAGCUUUGUCCCGUGAACACACUGGAUUUCUGCGUCACUUCGAAACACAGCGGUGCAGCCAUGGGGAGGGAGCCAGGGCAACACAGGGAGCCAAGGGAUCAUCCCACAUCACUCCUGUAUGUUGCCUUCAGUGCCCUCAAUACCCCAGAGCAGGACCAAAGUGCUUAGGCAGAGAGACCUGAGCCAGUCACUGUCUCACCUGGUGAAAUACCAGGUGUGUAAAGUUCGGAGGGAGCUUUUAGCCCCUGGCUUUGCUCAUGGAGCAGAGCUCGGCCCUUGCUGCUCUUGAUCCCUGGGUCUGUGGAGCUGUGGAAGUGCAGCCUUCCAGAAGGCGCUGUGCUUGGGGCCCAGAGGACCAUGAGCUUUUCCAGGCCAGGCAGCCCUGCUGCUGUUGUACUGCAUCCUCUCUGUUCCUGUAAGAGAAAUGUACUGCCUGUAAUUCUCUCCCAUUCAAAUCCUCCCAACCCCAUGCACUGUUGAAAAUAAACUCUCUCUUUUGCAAAA